rfam:Gossypium hirsutum cultivar TM-1 chromosome 17, whole genome shotgun sequence
AAACCAUGCACCGGACAUUUUUUGAUUAACUCCUUGAAUCGCGCACAUGCUUCAUAUAAUGUUUCAUCCUCAGAUUGCUGAAAGGAUGUAAUAUAAUUCUUUAGUUU